UUCGUAGGUGGCCAACUAAGCCAGACGUGAAAUCCCUCAGCUUAACUGGGGAACUGCGUCUGGGACUGGAUGGCUUGAGUGCAGGAGAGGAACGCGGAAUUCCAGGUGUAGCGGUGAAAUGCGUAGAUAUCUGGAGGAACACCGGUGGCGAAGGCGGCGUUCUGGACUGCAACUGACACUGAGGAACGAAAGCCAGGGAGCAAACG
rnacentral:rRNA from 1 species